rnacentral:rRNA from 1 species
UCCCCUAGUAACGGCGAGUGAAGAGGGAAGAGCCCAAGAUUGAAAGCUGGCGUCUUCGGCGUCCGCAUUGUAAUCUCAAGAAGUGUUUUCCGCUUCGGACCAAGCCUAAGUCCCUUGGAAAAGGGCAUCAUAGAGGGUGAUAAUCCCGUACAUGGCUUGGAGCGCCCGAAGCUUUGUGAUACGCUUUCUAAGAGUCGAGUUGUUUGGGAAUGCAGCUCAAAAUGGGUGGUAAAUGCCAUCUAAGGCUAAAUAUUGGGGAGAGACCGAUAGCGAACAAGUACAGUGAUGGAAAGAUGAAAAGAACUUUGAAAAGAGAGUUAAACAGUACGUGAAAUUGCCAAAAGGGAAGGGUAGGAGGUCAGAGAUGCGGCCUGGGAUUCAGCCUUGCUUUUGCUUGGUGUUUUUCCCAGAUUGCAGGCCAACGUCGGUUUUGGGCACUGGAGAAGGGUAGGAGGAACGUGGCACCUCUCGGGGUGUGUUAUAGCCUCCUACUGGAUACAGCGACCGAGACCGAGGACAGCAGCGUACUCGCAAGAGCGGGCCUUCGGGCACCUUUACGCUUAGGGCGUUGGCAUAAUGGCCCUCUACCACCCGUCUGAA